AGAAUGAACGCUGGCGGCAUGCCUAAUACAUGCAAGUCGAACGAACACUUCGGUGUUAGUGGCGCACGGGUGCGUAACGCGUGGGAAUCUGCCCUUGGGUUCGGAAUAACAGUUGGAAACGACUGCUAAUACCGGAUGAUAUCGAAAGAUCAAAGAUUUAUCGCCCAGGGAUGAGCCCGCGUAGGAUUAGCUAGUUGGUGAGGUAAAGGCUCACCAAGGCGACGAUCCUUAGCUGGUCUGAGAGGAUGAUCAGCCACACUGGGACUGAGACACGGCCCAGACUCCUACGGGAGGCAGCAGGUAGGGAAUAUUGGACAAUGGGCGCAAGCCUGAUCCAGCAAUGCCGCGUGAGUGAUGAAGGCUUAGGGUUGUAAAGCUCGUUUUACCCGAGAUGAUAAUGACAGUAGUCGGGAAGUAAAGUAACGGCCCCGGACUAACCUCCGGUGCCACGCACGCCGAC
rnacentral:rRNA from 1 species